rnacentral:rRNA from 1 species
CUACGGGCGGCAGCAGUGGGGAAUCUUGGACAAUGGGCGCAAGCCUGAUCCAGCCAUGCCGCGUGAGUGAAGAAGGCCUUAGGGUCGUAAAGCUCUUUCGCCAGAGAUGAUAAUGACAGUAUCUGGUAAAGAAACCCCGGCUAACUCCGUGCCAGCAGCCGCGGUAAUACGGAGGGGGUUAGCGUUGUUCGGAAUUACUGGGCGUAAAGCGCGCGUAGGCGGAUUAGUCAGUCAGAGGUGAAAUCCCAGGGCUCAACCCUGGAACUGCCUUUGAUACUGCUAGUCUUGAGUUCGAGAGAGGGGAGUGGAAUUCCGAGUGUAGAGGUGAAAUUCGUAGAUAUUCGGAGGAACACCAGUGGCGAAGGCGGCUCACUGGCUCGAUACUGACGCUGAGGUGCGAAAGUGUGGGGAGCAAACAGGAUUAGAUACCCCAGUAGUC